CGGCGGCAGCGGGGCCGUACGGGAGCCGCGAAGUGCCGAGGGGGGGGGAGGGGUGUCAGCGGGUCUUGUCGCGGGCAGCGAUGCGGCUCCGCCACCGCCCGGCCUCGCCGCAUCCGCCUCCCGCCGGGCACCGGUGACAGUCACACCUUUUCCCCCGUCCCGGCAGUAUGAGACCCGCCGAGCCUCCCAGUCAGCGCCGCGCUCCGGAGAAUUACUGAAGUCUGGAUUGCUAUCUUGAUACUAUAAACCUGCAAUAAGUGGCAAUGUCAAGGGUUCCUACCCCACCUCCUCCUGGGGAGAUGUCCAGUGGACCUGUGGCUGAAAGCUGGUGCUACACACAGGUUAAAGUAGUAAAAUUUUCCUACAUGUGGACCAUUAAUAACUUCAGUUUUUGCCGAGAAGAAAUGGGUGAAGUUUUAAAGAGUUCUACCUUUUCAUCAGGGCCAAAUGACAAAAUGAAGUGGUGCCUGAGAGUAAAUCCAAAGGGAUUAGAUGAUGAAAGCAAAGACUACCUGUCAUUAUAUCUGCUUUUAGUCAGUUGUCCAAAAAGUGAAGUCAGAGCAAAAUUCAAAUUUUCCCUGUUGAAUGCUAAAAGAGAAGAAACAAAAGCAAUGGAAAGCCAAAGAGCAUAUCGAUUUGUGCAAGGCAAGGACUGGGGUUUUAAGAAAUUUAUCCGAAGAGAUUUUUUACUGGAUGAAGCCAAUGGUCUUCUACCAGAUGACAAGCUUACAUUAUUUUGUGAGGUAAGCGUGGUCCAAGACUCAGUAAAUAUAUCAGGACAGUCUAAUACAAACACUUUGAAGGUACCUGAAUGUCGACUAGCAGAAGAUUUAGGGAAUCUCUGGGAAACAACAAGAUUUACAGAUUGCAGUUUUUAUGUAGGAGGACAAGAAUUCAAAGCUCAUAAAUCUGUUCUUGCAGCACGAUCUCCAGUUUUUAAUGCAAUGUUUGAACAUGAAAUGGAGGAAAGUAAAAAGAAUCGUGUAGAGAUAAAUGAUGUAGAGCCUGAAGUUUUUAAGGAAAUGAUGAGGUUUAUUUACACAGGAAAAGCACCAAACCUCGAAAAAAUGGCUGACAAUUUGUUAGCAGCUGCAGACAAAUAUGCACUGGAACGGCUGAAGGUCAUGUGUGAGGAAGCACUCUGUAGUAACCUCUCGGUAGAAAAUGUUGCUGACAUUCUUAUCCUCGCAGAUUUGCACAGCGCUGAACAGUUAAAAGCACAAGCAAUAGACUUCAUUAACAGGUGCAGUGUUCUUAGACAACUUGGGUGUAAAGAUGGGAAAAACUGGAAUAGCAAGUAAGUUUUCCUGCCUCACGAUGUUCUGUACAAACACUGCUAAAUAGACUGCAGAUCUUAAGAACUGUUGCUUCAUGUCCACACUACUGAGGCCAGUCACUGACUCCAAGCAACAGACAUAAUGGAAACAGCGGGCUGGAAGUCCAUGAUCCACUCCCACCCUCACUUAGUAGCAGAGGCCUUUCGCGCACUAGCAUCUGCACAGUGUCCACAGUUUGGCAUUCCACGCAAACGGCUAAAACAGUCAUGAAAUCUUCCAUGAACUCUAGAGAAACUGAAUUGACUCUACUCCAUGUCCAGAGGUGUUUUCACAAACCAUAAAAAGAGUUUUUGUUAUCCUUGUCCACAGAACAGAAGCUGAAAAAGCCUAUUGUUUGCUUUUCAGAUGGAUAAUUUAUGGUUUAAUCCUCAGCUUUAAAUUAGACUGAUUAAUUCACUGAAAGGCCUUAAAUUAUCUUCAAUGACUCUAGUCCAUAUAGCCUAAUGUAUCUUGAUUUUUUUUAUUAUUAUUAUUAUUUUUUAAUGUGCCUUGUCUUUUUGACUAGGCUCUGCAGGAUUGCACUAGCGCCAUAAUGCAGUAAAGUUGAUAACUGAAGAUUAAUUUUUGAAAGGGAUCUUCCAUUAUUUUCAGAAGAAAAAAAAAGAUUAUAGUUUGGUCCUGUGCUAAACUGGAAGGUUUUAACUAGCCUCUCAUUAAAAGCACUUGAAUCAGAGGCACAUAACGUACCCUAGGCAAGUGUUAAAUAUGGGGAGAGCCUGUUUACCUUCAGCAAAUGCUUACAGGCUAUUUAUGGCAAUAGACUGCUUUUAACAUAAUUUACUUUUCAUUGUGGGGGCAAAUAUGCAACGGUUUGGCCCAAAAAUGUAUUUUCAUUACAGUUUGUAAUGCUUAUUGUGUGUGUGUCAAAGCUGUCCAAAUGGUAAAAAGAAACACAGAAUAAACCUCUUGCUUGUGUUUCUUUACGGUCCAUCAUUAGUUUACAUUUAAUGCAGAACUGAACAGAGGUAAAGAUUGUUCAAUGUGAAAACAGAAUAGUAUUGUAUAUGGAAAAAAUAUAUCCCAUGUGUAUGGUUACAUAGGAAAGUAAAGGAUGCAUAGAAUGACCAAAUGUAAAUUGAAGAAAUGGGCCAAAUGGAUUCUGAAUAUGCACUUUUCAUGUGUAACUUUUGUAUGUUGUGUGGUACAUAUAUAUUUUGCUUUUGAUGAAUUAAUGAGGUACAGGUAAUUGUGGCUUAACUUUUUAGAUACAAUUUAAGAUGCCCACAGCCACAUGGGAUUUAGUUUUGUUAGAAAAGAAAGGCAUGUCUUUUUAAGACUCAAUUGAAGGUGGCUAUUGCAAGCUUUCAUAUUUAAGUAACAGAAUAUUUUUGCUUAUUUGAAAAUGGCAUGUGAAUCACAAAGUUUUGAAGGGUUUUUUCCUCAUCUUGACCUAUGUGCACAGCUUUCAUUAACACCUAAGAAGGUUAUGUACACAUCGAGAGGAAUAUUUCCCUGAAAUGUCAGAUGGAGUUUGCAAGCAAAGACUUGCUCAGUCUUGCAUUUCAGUUAUUGUACUAGCAUUGUGGAUGGUAUUGAAAUUCUGCAUAAUGUGAAAAGGAUGAAACAUUUAUAAACUGCUUGUCAUGGGCCAGUUCUUUAUGAUGCGAACCUUAGCUUUAAUAUCAACAUCCUCAGUGUUUGAUAGCAUUGUUUACAAUUGGGAGGAAAAGUCUGCAGUAGUGCACACUCUAAAUGUUUCCUGAGUUAUUGCGUUGAGUUUACUGUAAUAGUGAUAAUAUGCUAUACUUUUGGGGGAAGACUUGGAUUAGCAAUGGGGAAUGGGAGGAGAUCUCACCUAAUUUAUGAACAUAUUUGCAUAAGGGGGUUAGUUUGCCUAUUAAAAAAAAUCAUGCAGGGAGGAGAGAGGAAGAAUUUCAGAUUGUUUACUAUCUUAAAAUCUAUCUCCAUCCUCAUUUCAUUAGGAUUCAUCUGAAUUGCUCUGAAGGAAAUUUUUAGAGGAAAGAGUAUAUAGUUUUAUACUUUGGCAUUUAAGAUACCACUAGCAUAGGUAAAUUGGAAAAAAUGCUCAGUUCCAUUUUGAACAGUAAAAUAACCUCUAAAGAUGCAUUUUCUUCUUAUCUUCUGACUAAAUCUUUAUGAUGGAUAAAGUGUAAAAUCAGAAACUUUAAUAGAACAUAAGGCAUCAAAUUAUAUAUUUGCAGAGAUUUAUCCUUUUAUCAAUUUAAAAAUAUUUAUCUAAAAUAAGAUCUCAUAAGCAUUCUUCACAAUAAGACAAAACUAAUUGUUCUCUCCAAAACAGUGAUGUUUUUGCUGCAUUGUGUAAUGCGUUAGGACUAUAUAUCCUCAGACUCAUCACUGGUAAAACUUGCAGCUCUAACAUACAAAGUGACUUGAAUAUUUAAUGCUGUAAUGAUUGUCCAGUUCAGCUUACUGAAAAAUACCAAUGUACAGUAAUCAAAUGGAAAGCUUAAGGACUUUUUAUGAAAUUUUUUUUUUUUAAUAGAAGCUUAAUAGCACACUUUGUACCAAAAAAAUGUCAGACACUAUGCUGUAAUAUUACCUACAUUGUAGAGUGUCCACUUUUCAAGUCAGACAAUGUGUAUCAUAUGUUACACUAACAGGAAAAAAAACCAAACAGCCCACAUGGUGAUUGAUCUGUUUAGAUAUAAUUUCAUUAUGUAUGUUUUGAAGUUUUGUCAGCUCUUGCGAAAAAAGUGAAACAGUUGCUGUAUUACUGAGUGCACUAAUUAUUCACCUCUUAUUCUUUAAUUAGCUACAUGCAGUGUUCUCACUGGAGCAGGGCUGGCUGGUAAUUACAACUUUCUCCUUUGGAGUCAGUAGCUUGUUUUUAUUCCCCACAUCUCAAGAGCUUGCCCUUCAAAACCUCAGUUGUCAGUUCUAAGUGCAGCAGGUAUGAAACUAUCUGAUACAAAUGGACAGGUUUUUUUUGAGGCUGAAAUCUUAAGGGUCUUUCUUAGUUUUAUAUGUGUUAGGAAUAUAAUGUAUGAAGGUGCCAUGUUUUGGCUUGCCAACACUACUCCCUCAGAUAGAUGUGAACCAUUGCUUCCAUAUUUCUCUGGGGAGAACCCUGCAUGUGUCCUGUGUGUGUGUGCGUGUGUGUGUAUGACUGUGCGGUGUUUUUUUGUCAAGAAUGACUUUCUAAAAAUAAGGACUCAAGUUGCUGUUAAAAUGCUAUGAUGUAUUAUAUAUAUAUUUUUUUUUUCAUUUGAACCUCUCCUAAGGAGAUACUUUGGGUGGGAGAUGCUUCAAUAAAUGAUCCUUAUUUCUGAGUCCGUUUACUGCAUGCAGAAGUAUGAACACAUUGUGCCUUUUUAGGAAACCGUUGUAAUGAAGGGAAUAUUUAACAGGACACAAGAUCUUUUUUUGAAAGGUAAUCGUAAAGGUGGAGUAUGCUAUUUGAUAUACAAUUGGGAUGCAAAAGUUACAAAUUGUCCAUUUAGGCUCUGUUGCAUGUUGAUUCUUUCUACCUAAAUUCAUUUUCACUGAGGUAGAAACUACACAAAAAAAGUGGAUUAAGUAUUAUAGAUACAAGUUGAGUAAUGGUAUAUUUUUGUGAAAAUGUGAAAAUACUUGCUGUUACAAGAUAAGUGUAUGUCAAAAUGUGAUCAUCAUGGACACAAAGUUAGCUUCACAAGUUACUCUAGUCUGAUGUUUUUCUAAACAUGGGGUAUAAAAUCCACCUUUGCACAGAUGGUCAGUAGAAGACCUACAUGGAGGUUAUGUUCCUUUUAAAUCCUUAUAGUAAGGUUUCUCCCUUGGGAGACUAAAACAAUGUGCAGUAUUUGAAACUGUGUUUCAUGAAAGACAGCAAAUGUGAAAUAUUGCUACCUGAAAUGCUGUUCAAUUUCAUUGGAUUUUACAGUUGAUUAAAAUGUCUGAGUUUAAUGGAUUUACUUUUUGUAAUUGACAAAUGGAAUGUUAACUGUCUGCUGUCUGGUGUUGAUAGUGCAUUUAGUGCAGAGCUUAGCUCCUUAGCUAGCAAGACACUGACUUAGUCUCAUAACUUGGCUUCUGCUUACAGUAAAUGGACUACAUUUGUAAAGGGAAUUCACUCUUUCAAGUGUUUUGCAAGGAACUUCACUGUAUUUGUAACCUGGUUUUUGAAGGCUUAAGAUCAAUGAGUCCUAUUUUAGAAAUUAAACCAGUGAAAUGACUUAGACCUGUUUUGGGGUGGAAAUGAUUAAAAGAAUUCAGAUAUGUAAACAGUUGUAUCAAACCAUCCAGCCUUUUUUUUAUCAGCUGAUGUUAAUGGUGAAAUACUUUUUGUACCUUGUUGCUGAAAAUAUUUUUGCAUUUCAGCACAUCAAGUUACAAUAAAGUUGUUACUUAUACAGAA